rnacentral:rRNA from 1 species
UACGAAGGGUGCUAGCGUUGUUCGGAAUCACUGGGCGUAAAGCGCGCGUAGGCGGCGCAGCAAGUCAGAGGUGAAAGCCUGGAGCUCAACUCCAGAAUUGCCUUUGAAACUGCUGUGCUAGAGUGUCGGAGGGGAUAGCGGAAUUCCUAAUGUAGAGGUGAAAUUCGUAGAUAUUAGGAGGAACACCGGUGGCGAAGGCGGCUAUCUGGACGACAACUGACGCUGAGGCGCGAAAGCGUGGGGAUCAAACAGG